rnacentral:rRNA from 1 species
CAGCCGCCGCGGUAAUACAGAGGGUGCAAGCGUUAAUCGGAAUUACUGGGCGUAAAGCGCGCGUAGGUGGUUUGUUAAGUUGGAUGUGAAAUCCCCGGGCUCAACCUGGGAACUGCAUCCAAAACUGGCAAGCUAGAGUAUGGUAGAGGGUGGUGGAAUUUCCUGUGUAGCGGUGAAAUGCGUAGAUAUAGGAAGGAACACCAGUGGCGAAGGCGACCACCUGGACUGAUACUGACACUGAGGUGCGAAAGCGUGGGGAGCAAACAGGAUUAGAUACCCGCGUAGUCCCUGUCUCUUAUAC